CCUACGGGUGGCUGCAGUAGGGAAUAUUGCUCAAUGGGGGAAACCCUGAAGCAGCAACGCCGCGUGGAGGAUGAAGGUUUUCGGAUUGUAAACUCCUUUUGUUAGAGAAGAUAAUUACGGGAUCUAACGAAUAAGCCCCGGCUAACUCCGGUCCAGCAGCCGCGGUUAUUCGGAGGGUGCAAGCGUUACUCGGAAUCACUGGGGGGAAAGAGCGCGGUGGCGGGAUAGCAAGUCAGAUGUGAAAUCCUAUGGCUUAAGCAGAGAAAUGCAUUUGAAACUGUUAUUCUAGAGUAUGGGAGAGGUAGGUGGAAUUCUUGGUGUAGGGGUAAAAUCCGUAGAGAUCAAGAGGAAUACUCAUUGCGAAGGCGACCUGCUAGAACAUAACUGACGCUGAUGCGCGAAAGCGUGGGGAGCAAACAGGAUUAGAUACCCCUGUAGUC
rnacentral:rRNA from 1 species